CUUGAUGCAACCUUUCAGUAUGGGUUUUCGCUGGAACGAAAAAUAACUUCAAUCUCUAUGCAAUCAAAACACAAUCGGAAUUGCAGUUCAUUGUCUGGAGGGGACCCUGAGCUUGGAAUGAUUCAACUGAUAAGAGAGUUUCUGAGGGUCAUCGUGGACACCCUUCUGGCAAUCCCUGGGUUGAGGAGCCUCAACUCUCCAGUGGACAGUUGUCCAUGACUGACCUGGAGACCUUUGACAUGAUGUCCAAGGAAAUAAAUGACAAACAGGAUGCAAGACUGAAUGACAGAAUGAUUAAGCUUGGAGUCGGUUUGUCAAAAUUUUGCAUGUUGUGGUUAUUGACAUCUUACAAAUGGAACCUGAAGGGUUCCGUUUGGUUUAAUUGCAGUACUAUCGAAGUUAUUGACUUUUCAGUUAUUUUUGCUUGAUUUACGAGAAAAAAAAUCCUCAAUUCAAUUUUGUCCCAAAGCAAUUCCACUCUUCUGUUCAGAAUUUGUUAUAUACCGAUUGCAAAGCAGUCUUGUGUUGGGAGGGGCUGAUUUGAAGACAUGCAUGUUUCCAAGAAGACCAUGGAGAGAGUAAUCCCAAGGUGUGGUGCCCGAUGUCGAGUUCAUCUUUGUAGAAGCUGUUGGGGACACCCACCUGGUUGCACUGCAAGGAGAGACCCAGCAGCAAGCGGAGGAACAAGUCUAGGUUUCCGUCACUCUCUGAGGCUUUGUGGACGGCCGCUUCGUGGACCCGAGCGAGCGGCGUCUGCUCGCAAGGCAUUGGAAGGUCUUCCUUGUUGUCCUGGAACAGGCUCAUCAUCACGGAACAGGGUCAUCAUCACGUACAGAGUGGCCAGAUAUUCCUGGACGGUCAGAUGGAUGAACUGAAACAUCUUGCGGCCUUGGUAUUUCUUGAGUGGGGGUACCUCCUUGAAGACCUCCGUGAAGACUCACGAGUGUUUUUCAUCAGGGUCAUCUUAUAUUCGGGCUAAUACGGUAAUAAUACCAUAUCAUAUAUUUUAUCAUAUAUAUCAUGUAUCGUAUCAUGAAUAAACAAACACCAAAAAACUCUCAAAUGUCAGUGUACAUAUGUUUGUGAGUGUUUUUCAUCAAGGUCAUCUUAUAUUCGGGCUAAUACGGUAAUAAUACCAUAUCAUAUAUUUUAUCAUAUAUAUCAUGUAUCGUAUCAUGAAUAAACAAACACCAAAAGACU